UUUAAAUUUAGAGUUUGAUCCUGGCUCAGGACGAACGCUGGCGGCGUGCUUAACACAUGCAAGUCGAGCGAUGAAACUUCCUUCGGAAAGUGGAUUAGCGGCGGACGGGUGAGUAACACGUGGGUAACCUGCCUCAAAGUGGGGGAUAGCCUUCCGAAAGGAAGAUUAAUACCGCAUAAUAUAAGAGAAUCGCAUGAUUUUUUUAUCAAAGAUU
rnacentral:rRNA from 1 species